rnacentral:rRNA from 1 species
GACGAACGCUGGCGGCGUGCUUAACACAUGCAAGUCGAACGGAAAGGCCCUGCUUGCGUGGUGUUCUCGUGGCGAACGGGUGAGUAACACAUGUGUGUUCUGCCCCUUACUUUUGGAUAUGCCUUGGAAACUGGGUCUAUUACUGCAUAUGACCAUUCUUUCGGUGGUGUGGUGGUUGGAUUAUUUUCGCUGAGGGGUGAGCUCGCGGCCUUUCAGCUUGUUGUUGGGGGGAUGGCCUACCAAGGCGUCGUCGGGUGGCCGGCCGGAGAGGGGGGACGGCCACAUUGGGAAUGAGAUAAGGCGGAGACGACUACGGGAGGCAGCAGUGGGGAAGAAUGCAGAAUGGGCGGAAGCCGGAUGCAGCGGCGACGCGUGGGGGGUGACGGCCGUCGGGUUGUAAACAACUGUCAGCGAUGACGAAGCACUUGUGGUGACGGUAGUGGGAGAAGAAGCACCGGCUAACUACGUG